GGAAGUAGUCGCUGCCGCCAUUGUGCGGCGCUCGUCCAGUCGAAGGGUGUCAGCUGCGGUCAGCGCUUUGGGCUGUCGUCGUAGUUUUUUGGUUUCCUAUCCGCGGAGCCCGGCGAGACUGGGACUCCCGUCCGUGCCGGUGCGGGCGCCGGCAUGUGGCUAUGGGAGGAACAGGGGGGCCUCAUGGGCCCCUUCUCCUUCCUGAUGAUGCUGCUGCUGCUGGUGACGCGCAGUCCCUUCAAUGCUUGCCUCUUCACCGGCAGCCUCUACCUUCUGCUGCGGCUCUUCAGCUUUGAGCCGGUGCCCUCCCGCAGGGCCAUGCAGGUGCUCAAGCCCCGGGACCGCGUCUCCGUCAUCGCCCACCGCGGCGGCGGCCACGACGCACCCGAGAACACGCUGGCGGCCAUUCGGCAGGCAGCUAAGAAUGGAGCAACAGGCGUGGAGUUGGACCUUGAGUUUACUUCUGAUGGGAUUCCUGUCUUAAUGCACGAUAGCACAGUAGAUAGGACAACUGACGGCACCGGUCGAUUGUGUGAUUUGACAUUUGAACAAAUUAGGAAGCUUAAUCCUGCAGCAAAUCACAGGUUAAGGAGUGAUUUCCCUGAUGAAAAGAUUCCUACCCUGAGAGAAGCUGUUGCAGAGUGCCUAAACCGUAACCUCACAAUCUUCUUUGAUGUCAAAGGCUAUGCAAAUAUGGCUACUGAUGCUCUAAAGAAAAUAUAUAUGGAGUUUCCUCAACUAUACAAUAAUAGUAUUGUCUGCUCUUUCUUGCCAGAAGUUAUCUAUAAGAUGAGACAAGCAGAUCAGAAUGUAGUAACAGCUUUAAUUCACAGACCUUGGAGCCUUAGCCAUACAGGAGAUGGGAAACCACGCUUUGCUGCUUUCUGGAAACAGUCCAUGUUUGUGGCAUUGGACAUUUUGCUCGAUUGGAGUAUGCAUAAUAUCUUGUGGUACUUGUGUGGAAUUUCAGCUUUCCUCAUACAAAAGGAUUUUGUAUCUCCGGACUACUUGAAGAAGUGGUCAGCUAAAGGCAUUCAGGUUGUUGCUUGGACUGUUAAUACUUUUGAUGAAAAAAGUUACUAUGAAUCCCAUCUUGGUUCCAGCUAUAUCACCGACAGCAUGUUGGAAGACUGCACACCUCACUUCUAGACUUUUCCCCCGGGGAGGAAACACAGGUACAGAAACUGCCUGCUGGCCUCAUGGAGGAAUAUCAAUAUACCCAAGCCCUUGCGGGAUCAGGUGGCUCCCACAAGCAGUAGUCGGUAACUGGGUAUUUACCUGAACCAAAGCAAAACCCAGUGUUGCUACCAUGCUCCAUGAAAUGCCUGAGUUCAAAACCGAUGCUCUUGAAAGUCUGGGUCUGCAAAAAGGCACAACACUCUUGCCCCAGCCUAGCUGAGACACGCGCUGAAGCCCAAUGAAGAUAAGCACAGAAUGAAUUGUGCAAUUUGGGGGUGCAGAUGCAAAUGCAUGGGAAAUGCAUGAUCACUCAGAGUUGACGUUUUAAAACUUGACACACUUACAUAACUUUACUUAUUUAAAAUAUUUGUAUCCAGCUAUGUUACAAUGUACUGUAGACAUCAAACUUGUGACCAUACUAAUAAGAUCAUUAAAAGGAGCACUAAGGGAAAACCAUGUACCAAGCGUCAUAUCCUAAGACGUAAGGAAUUUAAGGGAGCUGCUGUUUCCAAUCCAGUGGCCAGGGCCCCUGGUGAGACAUUGGUGUGAAGCAAAGAAAAUGAUGAGGAAAUUUGGACACAAAGGUACGCCAGGAUGUGUGCACCGAGGAAAGACCAUGUGAGGACACAGCGAGAAGGUGGCCAUCUACAGGCCAAGGAGAGAGGCCUCAGAAUGAAACCAAAACUGUGGACACCGACUGUGGACACCUUGAUCUUAGACUUCCCACCUCUGGAACUGUGAAAAAAAUGAAUUUGUGUUGUUUAAGCCUCCAGUCUGUGCUAUGGGUUAUGGCAGCUCUAGCAAACUAAUAUAUCCCCUAUAUCUUAAGACUAAGGAUGUGAGGAUGUUACACACAUCCAAAUGUGUGUGUGAGACCUACAGACUAGAUCUUUCUACUGUGUCUGCUCCUCCAGGAGAAGCAGGGGCUACACUGAAGUAAAGAUAAGAGGUGAAUGGAGAAGCAGUCCGGAUAUAAGCCCUGAGCAUAUGGGAAGUGAGCAAAAAUGAUACUUCCAGAGGGAGUUCACAUUUCAAUGCAGAAGCACAGAUAGCAUUAGGAUAACACAGAGGGGGAAAAAAUCCCAUCAAACAUCAAUUCCACAGACUGCCUUCACUGACCCCACAGACAAGUUAAGUCUCCCGUCGUCCCUUGGGCUUCUCCUUCAUGGCACCUGCUAUAAGUAAUUACUGUUUAAUUAUUAAGUUCCUGCCAAAAGUGAUGUGCUAGACAGUAUAUGAGAGUGGAGGCUGUGUCUUGACUUGUGCACCAUCUUGUUCCCCACCACGUGGUACAUAUUUGUUGAAUGAAGGGAUGAACGAAGAAGCACUUCUAGCAACCACUAGCAAAGAUGGUACCAAAAGAACUGAAUUCAGCUGAUGAAUGAUUUAGUGAGCAAAUAAGUCAAUGAAGAAGUGAACCAAUGACUGAGCACUGACUGGAUGUUUGUGUUUUAAAUUCGUCUUAAAUGUUUUCUAAAUUCAGUUCCCAUUAGAUUUCAUGACAGUGAUUACCCAAGAGGAGAUUUCUCCUCCCGAGUAAUUUGGUAAUGGCAGUUUUCUGCUGGACUCUUCCGUUUUAAGUAGAGUCAGGUGCCUUGUGAGUCAUUUAGGAAAUUGCAAAAAAAUGCUUUAUACAUGUAUGUGUGCAUAUGUACACACACACACAUAUACAUACACAUACAUAUUCAAUAUAUAUAUUCCACACAUCACCACCGAUUUCAUGUUUGGUUCAACGUAAGACUCUGAUGAUCAUGUAUAAAACCUCACAGGGGUAGAGUCCCAGUCCACACAUGCCCACCCCAGUCCAAUCCAAAAGACUCAUGUACUCAAUGUGCAGUAAAGUUCAUAGACGAGCCCUCUGGUUGUUUCUCACCUUUGGGAAAAAUGGGGAUGUUUUCAGUGCAAAGUCAUGAACAAAUGCACGUUCCAAAAUUCAGAGGCUUCACAUCCCUGAUCGAGGGUCACAUUUUUAUUCAGACUGGACCAUUUGUCUUAGCACCAGUCUCCAAACCUUUGCCAGGUCUGGGAGUUCUGGGAGCGGCGAUUUCUAAGGAUCAAUCAUUCAUAUGCGUCUCUCUUAAACUACAACUCUUCCCAGGUUUUUGUGAACUAGUUCAAAUAUUACAACAAUCUUUACUGGAAAAUCUCAAAUAUUUUGUCUGGAAAAAUCAGCAAUUCAGGUGUAAAAACAACAGCAGGGAGUGCCCAAUUUUACUUCUGUAUUUACAUUGUAGUCAGUUUCCACUCCUGGCUACAGGCUUGAAUUUCCCAUCUGGGAAUCUCCUAAAGGCCCAGGCGUCAUGGAGGAAGCUGCUCCAUCUUCAUCUUCUCUCCUUAUUUGGUUGGUGUCUGGGUACCACAAUAAUUAUCAGGCCUUUGGAUUAUCUUCUUGAACCGAUCGCCUAAAUCGCAGGUCUGGGUUUGAUACAGGAGAAGAGAAGUUAGCACAGAGGCACACUGCCCCAUAUCUCCAAGGGAAAAACCAAAUUAGCUUUCGAGAUCCCGCAGCUUCUCAGGCCUUCCUUGCCUCCUCCUUUUAAGUUUCUUCAAUUCUCUCCCUUGAACUCCCAUCAUUGGAUGCUGUCAGUGAAUGCUAUUCCAAAAAGAUGAAUGGGUUUAUUUGUUUGUUUCCUCCCCAACAUUCAUUCCCCUCCUGGCAUCAGCCACAUGUUUUCUUUGGAAAGCCACCCUUCUCCACUCUCUCAGUCCCUGUGGUCUGUAUGUUUGUACCACCUGUAUCUAGAGAUGAGGUCUGCGACUCAGAUCUGGCCAAUGAAAUCAUCACAGUCUCUUGGCCACAGCAAUUGUUUCAGAUCCAAUGAAACACAAUGAGAAUCUGGAUCUCUUUCACACUAGACUUGAAUCUGAGAAGAUACAAGAAGCUAAGAAAGCUGUCUUGUAAUUAUCAGGAGAUAACGUGGAAAAGAACUGAACAGAAAGAAACCAGGUUCUGCCAACAUACUGUGAGACCCUGCUUCUGGCCACACCUAAAGCAAGAAUUAUUGUUGAGUUUUGGCUAAAGCCAAUUUGGGCCAGUUCUUGCAAUUGAAUGAGUGACCGAUACAGGAGCAGUUCUGACCCUCUGUCUUGGGACCUAUCAUCUGGAUGAAUUAGGCCUUACUCAGUGCCAGUCAGGUACUCACCUCGAGCAGCAUCAUGCUCUCUGACACGCAGAGGACCAGAUUGCUAAAAAAGAAGAAGACAAGAAAUCUCAUCACUGGAAGAGAGUGUACACCUCAGAUCCUGCUGCAUCAGUGGUGAGACUUGUGAGACCUCACCAUUUUAAUAUUAACAGGUGACAGAUUAAGACCAAGAUUCAGCCAUAGAAAUAUCAAACAUGUUUCCAUUUUUAUGGGCAGUGAUUCCAUUCAUUUAAUCAUUCAUUUCACAGAUAUUUACUGAGCAUUUACAAUGUAUACCAGGUAAUAUAUUAGGACCUGCAAAGGUACACUCAUAAUCCUUGCCUUCAAAGGUGGGCCUCUAGAUCCCUUACCUAUGUUGUGCUGAUGGUAUUCAUUUGAACAGGCAGUAAACGACAUGGCAGUCUCUUCUGACAAGAUCAUAACUUCUAAAACUAGUAGCAUUUGAAUUAACGUGGGUUUACUGUUUAUCCACAUUUUCUAGGACACCAAGGAAGCCAGCACAGGCUUUGGUAUUAGAGCAGGAUUCCAGGCAUCUCUUGUUAAGAAUGAAAUGGGUAAAAAUCUUUUUAAGAGCGUGAUAUGGCAAUAUCUGUUAACAUUAUCAUGUGCAUGCCUGUGGCAGAUAAAACACUCACAUAAAACAAUUAUAAUAAAAAAUGUUUCAUUACACAUCGCUUUUAGUAUUAAAAAAAAAACAAACUGUAAACAACCCAAAUGUCCAAGUAGGUACAGACUGAAACAGUGUCUGAGAUACAGUAUUAGGCGGGGAGAGGGGGAGCGUUGUGUAAAAUGUAACCCCUUUUUUGUAAUAAAUAAACAGGAAUGUUAGUAGA